UACGUAGGGGGCAAGCGUUGUCCGGAAUCAUUGGGCGUAAAGCGCGUGUAGGCGGCCCGAUAAGUCCGCUGUGAAAGUCCAGGGCUCAACCCUGGAAUGCCGGUGGAUACUGUCGGGCUCGAGUCCGGAAGAGGCGAGUGGAAUUCCUGGUGUAGCGGUGAAAUGCGCAGAUAUCAGGAGGAACACCAAUGGCGAAGGCAGCUCGCUGGGACGGUGCUGACGCUGAGACGCGAAAGCGUGGGGAGCAAACAGG
rnacentral:rRNA from 1 species